rnacentral:lncRNA from 1 species
ACACCGAAAGCUGCCGUCACCGUGCGCUCCCGCCCAAAACUUCGCGUCGAGAGGAGGAGGGAGAGAGCAGCUCUGCCACCGUGCGCCGCCGCAGUCGCCGCCACCGCCUCGCUCGUCUCCCCUUUCUCUCCUUUCUCGCCACGAGAGGACGACGAGUGGGUGGGAACCGGUUCGGCUAGAUCCAAGGGGCGGGCGGCGGAAGCAGAGGUGGUUGUGCUCUGCUCCGGCCCGACGGACUCCACGAAGGCGGCGGGGGAAGGAGAUGACGCGGGGAGCGGCGGAGCUUGGAGACCGCGGAGAGGAAGCCUCUCGGCAGCGGCGGCUUCUCGCCUUCUCCGCGUUGAGGGCCACGACCGCCGAGGCCGAGCCGUCGACGCCGCCGGCAAUUCGUCGCGGUGCAGAGUGCCGACGCUGAUCUAUCCUCGGCGAGGCGGCGACCGGGACGACUCCCUCGACUUCUCCCCAUCCGGCCGGCGAUCGCCGGUGACAGGAAAAUUGGAAAUGCCUGUGGUUGCUGCGAGUCUAGCUGGCAAUACUAUAAAAAGGGUCUCUAACUGUGGGAACGUCACAUCAGAAUCGCAAAUCUUCUCCAACCCAUCCAGCCGGUCGCAGAAGGACACCCUCAAAACAGAGAGGCUGGGAAACAUAUCAUGUAAUAUUGUUGGGACAUACUCCACUGGAGACAUCGUUAUUCCUUCUCCGAAAUACAUAUUCAACAAGUCUAGCACUUGCAAUUCUGUCAGACUAGAUAUGACCCCGUCUGGUAUUGUCUUUAUGUUGGUACCUUGCAGAUACAAGAAUUUGAGUUUAAUGAGGAAUCCAAGACACUUGGGCACUUCAGAUAUUGAAAAGUUGUAUGACAAAUUGAGGUACUCCAAAUUUGUUAAGGAGCAUAGUUCUUCUGGUAUAUUCUCGAGUUUGUUCCAGCUCAAAUCAAGGGGAAAUGGGAUGCCUGCUUCUUUUGGGUCAAGAAUCUCCCUGAGGUCAUCCACCAACAGAAGGAAACUUCUUUUCUCAAGGAAUUUCGAAAUCCUGGUAACAAGUUUUGCGUCACGGUCGUCUUGGUUUAUCCCCAGCCUCCUUGCAAUCUGUUCCCUGAUGUUUCUUGAGGCCGUGACAAAAAUGACAAACUGAAAGUCAGAAUGUUCAUGGAAUGAGUUGUUGAUCUUCUUUAGAAUAUGUGUUUUGCCCACCCCAGCUGCACCCCGUAUUCCAAUCAUUUCCACUGAAUCAUCCGCAAUGUACCGGAGAGCAUCCUGAAGAACAAUGUUUUGGCUUCGCAGUUCAAAAGACUGGAUUGGGAUGUAUUCGGUAGGGGUUUGGAGAACAUCGACAACAAUAUCGCUGGGCUGAUUGUCAAGGCAUUCUUGGACCUCAUGAAGCUUCUCAGCCGCACUCUGGCUAACAUCUAAGUUCAGUUGGUGUUGCCCACAUAUUAUUUCUGCAGAAGAUGUGAUGCUAUCCACUCUACGUAGCCACGAGAUCACCCCAUUCGUUGGUGUCUUGCCAUUUCGCUCUGCAAUCUCAAUCUUUUGGCGGACUUCGUUGCUCCUCGCAAGCAUAUUCUCGGUUGCCACCUUGAGAUUCCUCACAAUUGUUCCUUUCUUGAAAGCAAAAUGAACAGAAUUGAGUUAAUGUUAAGGAUUGGAGCUAAGCUAAGAUUAAGUCAAAAUAUCAAAGACAAAUUACAGUUGAACUCCAGU